rnacentral:rRNA from 1 species
UAGGAUUAGAUACCCUAUUAUUUUGAAUGUAUAUUAAUUACUAGAGUAUUAGUAGAUAUGGUCUUGAAACUUAAAAAAUUUGGCGGUAUUUUAGUCUAUUCAGAGGAACCUGUUAUGUAAUCGAUAAUCCACGAUGGACCUAACUUAAUUUUGUUUUUCAAUUUAUAUAUCGCUGUUAUAGAAUAUUUUAUAAGAAAAAUAAUUUUCAAUUAAUUUUAUAAAAUUAUAUAUCAAGUCAAGGUGUAGUUUAUGAUUAAGUAUUUUAUGGGUUACAAUAAAUUUAUUUAAGCGGAUAUAAAAUUGAAAUAUUUUAUUGAAGAUGGAUUUGAUAGUAAAUUUUUAUAGAUUAAAAAGUUGAUUUUAGCUCUAAAAUAUGCACACAUCGCCCGUCGCUCUUAA